rnacentral:lncRNA from 1 species
UCCAUUAAUAGAGAUACUGAAGCGAGUCGAGCUUUUGUCUCGCAUAAAGCUAAACAAAGCUGCUCCCAACCUUCACAUCAUUAAAAUUUAUGACUAAAAACAAUAAGGAGGGCUUUAAAAGAAAGGAACACCAACAACCUGACAGGACUGAGAAGUGGAUCAAUAUACUUUAAAAUAAUUCGUAUAUGCCUUUUCUCUUUCAGCUAUUAAAACAAAAAAGGCAACAUCUUUCAAUUAUAAAAGGACCACUAGUUGUUAAAAUUUUCUCGAUCGCCCCU